UUGGAUGUUUUUGAAGAAAUUGAAGAAGAGAUGUGCAAGAAUGGAAGAUUAUACUGUGUUUACUACGCAAAAGUUGCAAUGAAAAAACUUGUUCAAGCCUACUUUGAAGAAGCCGUAA